rnacentral:rRNA from 1 species
UAGGGAAUCUUCCACAAUGGACGCAGGUCUGAUGGAGCAACGCCGCGUGAGUGAAGAAGGUCUUCGGAUCGUAAAACUCUGUUGUUAGAGAAGAACACGAGUGAGAGUAACUGUUCAUUCGAUGACGGUAUCUAACCAGCAAGUCACGGCUAACUACGUGCCA